rnacentral:rRNA from 1 species
UACGUAGGGACCGAGCGUUGUCCGGAAUCAUUGGGCGUAAAGAGCGUGUAGGCGGCCACUUAAGUCCUGCGUGAAAUCCUGCGGCUCAACCGCAGGCGGUCGUGGGAAACUGGGUGGCUAGAGUGCGGGAGAGGAGAGUGGAAUUCCUGGUGUAGCGGUGGAAUGCGCAGAUAUCAGGAAGAACACCCGUGGCGAAGGCGACUUACUGGACUGUAACUGACGCUGAGGAAUGAAAGCGUGGGGAGCAAACAGG